UUAAGCGACUAAGCGUACACGGUGGAUGCCCUGGCAGUCAGAGGCGAUGAAGGACGUGCUAAUCUGCGAUAAGCGUCGGUAAGGUGAUAUGAACCGUUAUAACCGGCGAUUUCCGAAUGGGGAAACCCAGUGUGAUUCGUCACACUAUCAUUAACUGAAUCCAUAGGUUAAUGAGGCGAACCGGGGGAACUGAAACAUCUAAGUACCCCGAGGAAAAGAAAUCAACCGAGAUUCCCCCAGUAGCGGCGAGCGAACGGGGAGCAGCCCAGAGCCUGAAUCAGUGUGUGUGUUAGUGGAAGCGUCUGGAAAGGCGCGCGAUACAGGGUGACAGCCCCGUACACAAAAAUGCACAUACUGUGAGCUCGAUGAGUAGGGCGGGACACGUGGUAUCCUGUCUGAAUAUGGGGGGACCAUCCUCCAAGGCUAAAUACUCCUGACUGACCGAUAGUGAACCAGUACCGUGAGGGAAAGGCGAAAAGAACCCCGGCGAGGGGAGUGAAAAAGAACCUGAAACCGUGUACGUACAAGCAGUGGGAGCACGCUUAGGCGUGUGACUGCGUACCUUUUGUAUAAUGGGUCAGCGACUUAUAUUCUGUAGCAAGGUUAACCGAAUAGGGGAGCCGAAGGGAAACCGAGUCUUAACUGGGCGUUAAGUUGCAGGGUAUAGACCCGAAACCCGGUGAUCUAGCCAUGGGCAGGUUGAAGGUUGGGUAACACUAACUGGAGGACCGAACCGACUAAUGUUGAAAAAUUAGCGGAUGACUUGUGGCUGGGGGUGAAAGGCCAAUCAAACCGGGAGAUAGCUGGUUCUCCCCGAAAGCUAUUUAGGUAGCGCCUCGUGAAUUCAUCUCCGGGGGUAGAGCACUGUUUCGGCAAGGGGGUCAUCCCGACUUACCAACCCGAUGCAAACUGCGAAUACCGGAGAAUGUUAUCACGGGAGACACACGGCGGGUGCUAACGUCCGUCGUGAAGAGGGAAACAACCCAGACCGCCAGCUAAGGUCCCAAAGUCAUGGUUAAGUGGGAAACGAUGUGGGAAGGCCCAGACAGCCAGGAUGUUGGCUUAGAAGCAGCCAUCAUUUAAAGAAAGCGUAAUAGCUCACUGGUCGAGUCGGCCUGCGCGGAAGAUGUAACGGGGCUAAACCAUGCACCGAAGCUGCGGCAGCGACGCUUAUGCGUUGUUGGGUAGGGGAGCGUUCUGUAAGCCUGUGAAGGUGUGCUGUGAGGCAUGCUGGAGGUAUCAGAAGUGCGAAUGCUGACAUAAGUAACGAUAAAGCGGGUGAAAAGCCCGCUCGCCGGAAGACCAAGGGUUCCUGUCCAACGUUAAUCGGGGCAGGGUGAGUCGACCCCUAAGGCGAGGCCGAAAGGCGUAGUCGAUGGGAAACAGGUUAAUAUUCCUGUACUUGGUGUUACUGCGAAGGGGGGACGGAGAAGGCUAUGUUGGCCGGGCGACGGUUGUCCCGGUUUAAGCGUGUAGGCUGGUUUUCCAGGCAAAUCCGGAAAAUCAAGGCUGAGGCGUGAUGACGAGGCACUACGGUGCUGAAGCAACAAAUGCCCUGCUUCCAGGAAAAGCCUCUAAGCAUCAGGUAACAUCAAAUCGUACCCCAAACCGACACAGGUGGUCAGGUAGAGAAUACCAAGGCGCUUGAGAGAACUCGGGUGAAGGAACUAGGCAAAAUGGUGCCGUAACUUCGGGAGAAGGCACGCUGAUAUGUAGGUGAAGUCCCUCGCGGAUGGAGCUGAAAUCAGUCGAAGAUACCAGCUGGCUGCAACUGUUUAUUAAAAACACAGCACUGUGCAAACACGAAAGUGGACGUAUACGGUGUGACGCCUGCCCGGUGCCGGAAGGUUAAUUGAUGGGGUCAGCGCAAGCGAAGCUCUUGAUCGAAGCCCCGGUAAACGGCGGCCGUAACUAUAACGGUCCUAAGGUAGCGAAAUUCCUUGUCGGGUAAGUUCCGACCUGCACGAAUGGCGUAAUGAUGGCCAGGCUGUCUCCACCCGAGACUCAGUGAAAUUGAACUCGCUGUGAAGAUGCAGUGUACCCGCGGCAAGACGGAAAGACCCCGUGAACCUUUACUAUAGCUUGACACUGAACAUUGAGCCUUGAUGUGUAGGAUAGGUGGGAGGCUUAGAAGUGUGGACGCCAGUCUGCAUGGAGCCGACCUUGAAAUACCACCCUUUAAUGUUUGAUGUUCUAACGUUGACCCGUAAUCCGGGUUGCGGACAGUGUCUGGUGGGUAGUUUGACUGGGGCGGUCUCCUCCUAAAGAGUAACGGAGGAGCACGAAGGUUGGCUAAUCCUGGUCGGACAUCAGGAGGUUAGUGCAAUGGCAUAAGCCAGCUUGACUGCGAGCGUGACGGCGCGAGCAGGUGCGAAAGCAGGUCAUAGUGAUCCGGUGGUUCUGAAUGGAAGGGCCAUCGCUCAACGGAUAAAAGGUACUCCGGGGAUAACAGGCUGAUACCGCCCAAGAGUUCAUAUCGACGGCGGUGUUUGGCACCUCGAUGUCGGCUCAUCACAUCCUGGGGCUGAAGUAGGUCCCAAGGGUAUGGCUGUUCGCCAUUUAAAGUGGUACGCGAGCUGGGUUUAGAACGUCGUGAGACAGUUCGGUCCCUAUCUGCCGUGGGCGCUGGAGAACUGAGGGGGGCUGCUCCUAGUACGAGAGGACCGGAGUGGACGCAUCACUGGUGUUCGGGUUGUCAUGCCAAUGGCACUGCCCGGUAGCUAAAUGCGGAAGAGAUAAGUGCUGAAAGCAUCUAAGCACGAAACUUGCCCCGAGAUGAGUUCUCCCUGACUCCUUGAGAGUCCUGAAGGAACGUUGAAGACGACGACGUUGAUAGGCCGGGUGUGUAAGCGCAGCGAUGCGUUGAGCUAACCGGUACUAAUGAACCGUGAGGCUUAACCU
rnacentral:rRNA from 1 species